GGAGGAGCUUCUGACGUGCAACACCCAAGGGGUAACAGCUGGCAGCAGAGGAGCAGAGCCUCACGUGGUAAACACGAAUCUACAGAACAUUAGGAUGAGACUUUCCAGUAAAGAUGGCAACGUGAAGCAGGAUCAUGGACCUUAUACUUUAUAAAAUGAACAAAAUACAGCUUCAACAAAAAUUCUUAAAAUUUUCUAGUAGCAACUGAGCAAGAAACGGGGUACAAUCUUGUGCCAAAACUGUGCAUUAGAGCUGUGCCUGCAUCUAAUCCUACUGCAGAGAUUGAGGACAGAAGGAAAAUCAAUAAUGCUGAGAAUUAUCCUAAUAUGCUCCAAUUAGGAGACAAGUCUCAGAAGACCCCGCAGGACACAUCUCCCAAGCACCAGGACCUUUGCCAGACUCCAGGAGAAAAUGGCUGCAGCAGAAGAGAGCUCCACCCAACCUCUCCAGUCCAGAUAAACCCUCACAUGCCCUUGUAAUUACCUACUGAUAUGAAGAUGGACUAAUUCUCUUCACCACUUGGAAGCACCUAUUGAUAUGCAGAUGUACUAAAGCCAGGCGAGAGAUUCUGGAAAUAUUGCAGUUUUACCCACACAAACUUUAUGACACAAUGGUCAUGGUAAAGCACAGCCCCCUCUCUCUUCUCUUUGUCUCUGUCUCACUCAUCCUUGCGAUGACCACACCUUGACUGUGCCUUGGUCUCUUUCCCUUCUGCACACUUGUCCAUCUGUCCUUCUCCUAUGCUCUCCCUUGGGGGCUUCAGCCGCGCAGGGCCUGCUGCAAGACCCCUCCCUGAGCCUUGUGCUUGGGUUGGGGGAGCUCCUUCCCCUCAUUCUCAUUGCACUUGCCAACACCAGCGGGACUCUGUUUAUCUGCCUGCCUUUCUCUCCACACAGUGAGUCUCAUGAGGACAGGGCCUCUCUUUCAUGGCAGAGUUUGGUGUCUGGCACAUAGUAGGCCCUGCAUAAAUGUUUGCUGAAGGAAUGAAGGAGGGAAUGAAUAAA